UGUGACCUCAAAUCAGGUAGGACUACCCGCUGAACUUAAGCAUAUCAAUAAGCGGAGGAAAAGAAACUAACAAGGAUUCCCCUAGUAACUGCGAGUGAAGCGGGAAAAGCUCAAAUUUAAAAUCUGGCAGUCUUUGGCUGUCCGAGUUGUAAUCUAGAGAAGUGUUAUCCGCGCUGGACCGUGUACAAGUCUCCUGGAAUGGAGCGUCAUAGAGGGUGAGAAUCCCGUCUUUGACACGGACUACCAGGGCUUUGUGAUGCGCUCUCAAAGAGUCGAGUUGUUUGGGAAUGCAGCUCAAAAUGGGUGGUAAAUUCCAUCUAAAGCUAAAUAUUGGCGAGAGACCGAUAGCGAACAAGUACCGUGAGGGAAAGAUGAAAAGAACUUUGGAAAGAGAGUUAAACAGUACGUGAAAUUGCUGAAAGGGAAACGCUUGAAGUCAGUCGCGUCGUCCAGGGAUCAACCUUGCUUUUGCUUGGUGCACUUUCUGGUUGACGGGUCAGCAUCAAUUUUGACCAUUGGAAAAAGAUCAGGGGAAUGUGACAUCUUUGGAUGUGUUAUAGCCCUUGGUUGCAUACGAUGGUUGGGAUUGAGGAACUCAGCACGCCGCAAGGCCGGGUUUUUAACCACGUACGUGCUUAGGAUGCUGGCAUAAUGGCUUUAAUCGACCCGUCUUGAAACACGGACCAAGGAGUCUAACAUGCCUGCGAGUGUUUGGGUGGAAAACCCGAGCGCGUAAUGAAAGUGAAAGUUGAGAUCCCUGUCGUGGGGAGCAUCGACGCCCGGACCAGACCUUUUGUGACGGUUCCGCGGUAGAGCAUGUAUGUUGGGACCCGAAAGAUGGUGAACUAUGCCUGAAUAGGGUGAAGCCAGAGGAAACUCUGGUGGAGGCUCGUAGCGAUUCUGACGUGCAAAUCGAUCGUCAAAUUUGGGUAUAGGGGCGAAAGACUAAUCGA
rnacentral:rRNA from 1 species